GAUGAACGCUAGCGGCAGGCCUAAUACAUGCAAGUCGAGGGGCAGCGCGGUAGCAAUACUGGCGGCGACCGGCGCACGGGUGCGUAACACGUAUGCAACCUACCUUCAACUGGAGGAUAGCCCGGGGAAACUCGGAUUAAUACUCCAUAACACAGGGAUCCCGCAUGGGAAUAUUGUUAAAGCUACGGCGGUUGAAGAUGGGCAUGCGUUCGAUUAGCUAGUUGGUGUAGGUAACGGCUUCACCAAGGCUACGAUCGAUAGGGGUCUGAGAGGAUGAUCCCCCACACUGGUACUGAGAUACGGACCAGACUCCUACGGGAGGCAGCAGUA
rnacentral:rRNA from 1 species